rnacentral:rRNA from 1 species
UGGGGAAUAUUGCACAAUGGGCGCAAGCCGGAUGCAGCAACGCCGCGUGAACGAUGAAGGUCUUCGGACCGUAAAGUUCUGUUGCAGGGGAAGAUAAUGACGGUACCCUGUGAGGAAGCCCCGGCUAACUACGUGCCAGCAGCCGCGGUAAUACGUAGGGGGCUAGCGUUAUCCGGAUUUACUGGGCGUAAAGGGUGCGUAGGUGGUCUUUCAAGUCGGUGGUUAAAGGCUACGGCUCAACCGUAGUUAGCCUCCGAAACUGGAAGACUUGAGUGCAGGAGAGGAAAGUGGAAUUCCCAGUGUAGCGGUGAAAUGCGUAGAUAUUGGGAGGAACACCAGUAGCGAAGGCGGCUUUCUGGACUGCAACUGACACUGAGGCACGAAAGCGUGGGUAGCAAACAGG